rnacentral:rRNA from 1 species
UGCGCAGGCGGUUGAGUAAGACAGAUGUGAAAUCCCCGAGCUUAACUCGGGAAUGGCAUAUGUGACUGCUCGACUAGAGUGUGUCAGAGGGAGGUGGAAUUCCUGGUGUAGCAGUGAAAUGCGUAGAGAUCAGGAGGAACAUCCGUGGCGAAGGCGACUGCCUGGGCCAACACUGACACUGAGGCACGAAAGCGGUGGGGAGCAAACA